rnacentral:rRNA from 1 species
AAGGAGGUGAUCCAGCCGCAGGUUCCCCUACGGUUACCUUGUUACGACUUCACCCCAGUCAUGAAUCACAAAGUGGUAAGCGCCCUCCCGAAGGUUAAGCUACCUACUUCUUUUGCAACCCACUCCCAUGGUGUGACGGGCGGUGUGUACAAGGCCCGGGAACGUAUUCACCGUAGCAUUCUGAUCUACGAUUACUAGCGAUUCCGACUUCAUGGAGUCGAGUUGCAGACUCCAAUCCGGACUACGACAUACUUUAUGAGGUCCGCUUGCUCUCGCGAGGUCGCUUCUCUUUGUAUAUGCCAUUGUAGCACGUGUGUAGCCCUACUCGUAAGGGCCAUGAUGACUUGACGUCAUCCCCACCUUCCUCCAGUUUAUCACUGGCAGUCUCCUUUGAGUUCCCGGCCGAACCGCUGGCAACAAAGGAUAAGGGUUGCGCUCGUUGCGGGACUUAACCCAACAUUUCACAACACGAGCUGACGACAGCCAUGCAGCACCUGUCUCAGAGUUCCCGAAGGCACCAAAGCAUCUCUGCUAAGUUCUCUGGAUGUCAAGAGUAGGUAAGGUUCUUCGCGUUGCAUCGAAUUAAACCACAUGCUCCACCGCUUGUGCGGGCCCCCGUCAAUUCAUUUGAGUUUUAACCUUGCGGCCGUACUCCCCAGGCGGUCGAUUUAACGCGUUAGCUCCGGAAGCCACGCCUCAAGGGCACAACCUCCAAAUCGACAUCGUUUACAGCGUGGACUACCAGGUAUCUAAUCCUGUUUGCUCCCCACGCUUUCGCACCUGAGCGUCAGUCUUCGUCCAGGGGGCCGCCUUCGCCACCGGUAUUCCUCCAGAUCUCUACGCAUUUCACCGCUACACCUGGAAUUCUACCCCCCUCUACGAGACUCUAGCUUGCCAGUUUCAAAUGCAGUUCCCAGGUUGAGCCCGGGGAUUUCACAUCUGACUUAACAAACCGCCUGCGUGCGCUUUACGCCCAGUAAUUCCGAUUAACGCUUGCACCCUCCGUAUUACCGCGGCUGCUGGCACGGAGUUAGCCGGUGCUUCUUCUGCGAGUAACGUCAAUUGAUGAGCGUAUUAAGCUCACCACCUUCCUCCUCGCUGAAAGUGCUUUACAACCCGAAGGCCUUCUUCACACACGCGGCAUGGCUGCAUCAGGCUUGCGCCCAUUGUGCAAUAUUCCCCACUGCUGCCUCCCGUAGGAGUCUGGACCGUGUCACAGUUCCAGUGUGGCUGGUCAUCCUCUCAGACCAGCUAGGGAUCGUCGCCUAGGUGAGCCAUUACCCCACCUACUAGCUAAUCCCAUCUGGGCACAUCUGAUGGCAAGAGGCCCGAAGGUCCCCCUCUUUGGUCUUGCGACGUUAUGCGGUAUUAGCUACCGUUUCCAGUAGUUAUCCCCCUCCAUCAGGCAGUUUCCCAGACAUUACUCACCCGUCCGCCGCUCGUCACCCAGAGAGCAAGCUCUCCUGUGCUACCGCUCGACUUGCAUGUGUUAAGCCUGCCGCCAGCGUUCAAUCUGAGCCAGGAUCAAACUCU